CAGCAAAGUCUCCUGGGAGGGUUUAUAUGUUAAGCUCUGUCAGUAAUUUCUCCCCUAGCAAGAAUGAGGAAGAUGAAGAGCUCGGGUAUCUGAGGGCUGGUGUGUCUGCAUGCGUGUGUGUUUUGGGGGCCGACUGAAGGAAGAGAAGGCUGGAGAGAGGGAACAUGGGUCUGAGGGCACAUCGCUAAGGGGUCAAGAGGCCUAAAGGAGGAGUCUAAGGCUCUCCAUCGAACUUGGACUUGGUCUACAUUAGACUUUAACCUCCAUGAGGCUUGGACUUUCAGGCUUCCUCCCUCACACCGCGGGCAGGUGAGGCGUCUGCUACAGGCCUGGUCUCGCAGAGGGGGCCCAGCGCCCCCCGCCGCCGCCUUCUCCUGGAGUCUGUGUGACAGAAUGGGACCUGUGGGAAAGCAGCACGUCAGCACCCAGCCCCGCUUGCGCGCCAGCAGCUAAUUAAAGCCAGGAAGGUGAUGGCGAUUUUCAACUCAUUCCCGUUACAAACAGCCGACCUUCCUACCGAGUUCAAGUACCUUCUGCCUGGCCUGGAAGAACAAUAUCUCUCUGUCUCCCUCUUCCACUGGCCCUCACCUGCCUUCCCCUGAACAUGCAUUUUGCCUGACAGGAGACAGAGGCAGUUGGCUGGAGACAGACGCCUCCAUCCUCCUGCACACAGUCCUGUGCCUGCUUCUGCAGUGACUCCCUCUCCCUCUGUGGAAACACAUGAGGAAUACAGGAAUAAGGGUUAUCUUCUACUGAAGCCUGCCUAGUGUUUAUUACAGAGAUGGAGUCUUGCUAUAUGGCCCAGCUGGUAAUGCCUAGAUUCUUGAGUCCCUCCCUGGCUCAUCCCUGGGAGCAGCACUGAACCCCUUGUCUGACACCUGUCUGGAAAUGGAGCCUGCACAUUGACCCUAGAUGCUUGCAGCUUGGUCCAGGAGGCCAGCAGGACCAGAGAGAAGACCACAGCGACACAUGGGGAUGGCUGUCCCACAGGCAGAAAUGAGCAGCCGGGAGGAAGCCCAGGCAGCCAGCCACCCAGCUCCCUCCACAUCGUGGCCCUAGAACGGAGUCUUGAAGAAUAAGAAGCCACAGCUUGUCAGGGAAUCAGGCUGGAAAAAUGUUAUGAGACUGAGUAAGACCAGAGAUUCCUCAGCAGUGCCUGGAGAAGACCAGGAGAGGAAGCAGAAGACCCUCCUCAAAGAAGCAGCCUUCACCUCCAGACCUCCCAGCGGGACUUAGACAAUGGGGUUAGGCAGUCACAUGUCUGCACGUGGAAACUUUCUGGGACUGUGCUUGGAUCCUGGCUCUGCCUUUUACUAGCCAUGUGACCUUGGGAAAAUCACUUGACUUCUCCGUGCAGGAUUCCUCAUCUGUAAAAAUGGUCUAAGAUUAGGAGCCACCUCAAGGUUGUUGUAGGAAUUAAAUUAAUUCAUGUUUAUAAAGUGCUUUGAACAGCGUUUGGCACAUGGAGAAUUAAAUGAGCAAACGGAAGAGCAGCAACCCUGAGUUACAUUUCUCAAGACACCGGGGCUCUUGAUGGCACAGCAGCAGCUUGCUAGAGCUUGGUAAAGAGACUUGGGCCUGGUACCUGAAGGGCAAUUCCUUGGCCAUGACAUUGUAGGGAAAGACCUCUAUGGGUGUUGAAAAGACAAGGCGAGGACAAGAAGAGUUGAAAAGGAGCUGUUCUGAAGCCACCUGGCUGUGGAUGGAGGAAGCCACAUGUAGCUUAGGUAGCCUGCUAUUGUAAUUUUUUCUGCAACUGAAGAAUUCGAAAUGGGUUUGGUGGGUAGCGAAGGGCAGAAUCUGGCUUCAAGGUGACAGAGUUUGCAUAGAGAUGGCCUUCUUGAGCAAAGGUAGUGACUCCUACAUUUUUUUUUUUUGUAGAGUUGUGAUACCCAUGAGUUAGUCAGCUUGGGCUAUCAUAACAAAAUACCACACAUUGGUUGGCUUAAACAACAGAAAUUCAUUUUCCUGUAAUUCUGGAGGCUGGAAGUCCAAGAUCAAGGUGACGACAGAGUUGGGUUUCCUCUGAAGCCUCUCUCCUUGGUUUUCAGAUGGGUGUCCUCUUGCUGUCUCUUCAUGUGACUGUCCCUCUGCAUGUGUGCCCCUGGGGACUCUUUCUUAUCUUAUAGUGACACUAGUUCUAUUGGAUUGAAGUGUACCCAUACGACCUCAUUUAAACUUAAUUACAUAUUGUAAGGCCCUAACUUCAAAUACAGUCACAUCCUGAGGUACUGUGUAUUAGGGCUUCAACAUAUAAAUUUUGGGGCAAUCCAGUUCAGCCCAUAAAAUCCCUUUUUGGUUGCUUGAUUCUGUUUAUUUGGUGUCAUGCCUUCCUUUUCCUAAAGAACUUCAUGAAUAGAAUUACUUUCUAAGUGAAAGGAACAAAACUGAUUUUUAUUAAAAAUUAUUUUGAGAUGCUUGUGACAAAUUUUGAAGUAAGUGAAGAUUUUCCUGGAGCUUCUACAAAAUCCUGGCUGAGAAUCCCUGCUUUCUGGACAGUUGAGAAGGAAAUACACUUAGUACAGCUGUUAGAGAGAUAUAGUUGCAACCACUGAGUGCUUAUUAUCUGCCAACUUAAAUAUAUUGCCCAAGGGAAUAACAAAUAUUCUAGUGUUCUUGUUAAGUAUAUUGUCUAAGGUCACACAGCUCUUAAACAACAGCUUCAGGAUUUGAACCUGGAAUCUAUCUGACUCCUAAGUCCAGAUGCUGUUCACCACAUUAGGUUGAAGCAUGGCCAGUGUUCAUAACAUACAACUAUGUCUCCAUAUCUUUUGCUAACCAAUGUUCUUGUAUGUGCAUACCUUACAGGGCAGCCAUUCACCACAAGCCCUACUAGAUGGCUUCCUGUAAUAAGGGUAGAACAGUAGUACUCUCCUUUUGAGAAGUUAUUUGUAAUUUUGUUGGUGGGCUGACAUUUAGGCCCUGCUCUCCAGCCCCAGAGGGGAUCCCAUAACCUAGAUCAGGCCAAUGAUGAUUAUCUCCGUGACUGUAGUGGCUGGUCCAGCGGGGAGGGUCAGGCAGGUAAGCUGGCCCAACCUGAGUCCUUCUUGAGGAUUUUAGAAACUGAAGGUAGGAGAGAAAAAUUCUCUCUUUUCUUCUGGGGAACGGGAUGAAGGUGGUGGGUAGGCAGAGCUGUUGGGAUGUGGAUCCAGGGAUUCUGGAAGUCCUGUCCUCCACCAUGUAAAGAAUACAUCCUGCAGAAGGAGAGAAGGGAGCCAGCACACAGAGAAGCAGAGUCAGGAGAUGGAGAAGGAGAAUCCUGAGAGCCUGAAGGUCCCUGGGUCCAGCCAUUGUCAAGGCCGAGUUCUACCGUCCUUAAGUUGUUUACCUUUCUUUCUUGCUUGCUUCUGUUAGAAGAUGAACACUCAAUGAAAAAUCACCAAACAUCUGAGGAAAGCCAUCAAAAUGAAAUAAACGAAACACACAAGUUCCUAAACACAAGUGAACAGCGUGGGCUGGGUUUUUGUCGCUUGGAACUGGAAACGCUGACGAUAAUGCUGACCUCUGAGCAGACCCACGUGAGGGGCAGCUGUGGUGUGGUGUGAUGAUGCUGGGAUAGGCACUCAGAUGGUUGAGUCUGAGUUUGGCUCUGAUAUUAUAUCAACUGCAUGGGCAGCUGUGGUGUGGUGUGAUGAUGCUGGGAUAGGCACUCAGAUGGUUGAGUCUGAGUUUGGCUCUGAUAUUAUAUCAACUGCAUGGGCAGCUGUGGUGUGGUGUGAUGAUGCUGGGAUAGGCACUCAGAUGGUUGAGUCUGAGUUUGGCUCUGAUAUUAUAUCAACUGCAUGGGCAGCUGUGGUGUGGUGUGAUGAUGCUGGGAUAGGCACUCAGAUGGUUGAGUCUGAGUUUGGCUCUGAUAUUAUAUCAACCGCAUCAUUUUGGGGAAGACACAAUUUCUCAGAAUUUUAUUUAGUUGUAAAAUAAAGAUAAUGAUAUUACAUGCUCUGUCUACCAUCUAGAGUUUUUGUCAAGACAAAC
rnacentral:lncRNA from 1 species